rnacentral:rRNA from 1 species
UACGUAGGGGGCAAGCGUUGUCCGGAUUUAUUGGGCGUAAAGAGCUCGUAGGCGGCUUGGCAAGUCGGGUGUGAAAACUCCAGGCUCAACCUGGAGAUGCCACUCGAGACUGCUAUGGCUAGAGUCCGGUAGGGGACCACGGAAUUCCUGGUGUAGCGGUGAAAUGCGCAGAUAUCAGGAGGAACACCGGUGGCGAAGGCGGGUCUCUGGGCAGUAACUGACGCUGAGGAACGAAAGCGUGGGUAGCGAACAGG